GCAGUGGUGGUUCAGUGGUAGAAUUCUCACCUUAUGUGUGGGAAACCCGGAUUUGAUCCCCUGCCAGUGUA
rnacentral:tRNA from 1 species